UACGUAGGGUCCGAGCGUUGUCCGGAAUUACUGGGCGUAAAGAGCUCGUAGGUGGUUUGUCACGUUGUUCGUGAAAACUCACAGCUCAACUGUGGGCGUGCGGGCGAUACGGGCAGACUGGAGUACUGCAGGGGAGACUGGAAUUCCUGGUGUAGCGGUGGAAUGCGCAGAUAUCAGGAGGAACACCGGUGGCGAAGGCGGGUCUCUGGGCAGUAACUGACGCUGAGGAGCGAAAGCGUGGGGAGCGAACAGG
rnacentral:rRNA from 1 species